UGGGAGAUCUGCUAAAGGUAGGCAAGUGGGCUCUGAACCCAUUAAUCUAGGUUCGAUUCCUAGUCUCCCAG
rnacentral:tRNA from 1 species